rnacentral:rRNA from 1 species
UGGGGAAUCUUGCGCAAUGCGCGAAAGCGUGACGCAGCAACGCCGCGUGAGGGAAGACGGCCUUCGGGUUGUAAACCUCUUUCAGUUGGGACGAAGCCACGGCGGUUAAUACCCGUCUGUGGUGACGGUACCUUCAGAAGAAGCCCCGGCUAACUACGUGCCAGCAGCCGCGGUAAUACGUAGGGGGCAAGCGUUGUCCGGAAUCAUUGGGCGUAAAGCGCGUGUAGGCGGCUUGGUAAGUCCGCUCUGAAAGCCCGGGGCUCAACCCCGGGAGGCGGGUGGAUACUGUCAAGCUCGAGUCCGGAAGAGGCGAGUGGAAUUCCUGGUGUAGCGGUGAAAUGCGCAGAUAUCAGGAGGAACACCAAUGGCGAAGGCAGCUCGCUGGGACGUGACUGACGCUGAGACGCGAAAGCGUGGGGAGCAAACAG